rnacentral:tmRNA from 1 species
GGGGGUGAUUUGGUCUCGACUUGUUAUAUUGUUGUAUGAGUGGCAUGCCGAGGAAGUCUGGUUGGCCUCGUUAAAAAUCUGGACAAAAAAACAAACGGCGAAAAUUACAAUGCUGUUGCUGAAGCGGAAGCAAUUCUAGCUGAAGCGCAACCAGUCUUAGUUUAAAAAUUUAAGCUAAGCCCUUUUAUUGAGAGUGUCUGCGGCUCUAUAGAAGGCACUAGCAGGCUGGCUGUAAUCGUGUUCUUGAGGUUAUGGUGAGAUUAAAGAGAACUAGCUUAAAUAUAUCUUGUGCAUUGGAGAUACUUAAGUGAUAUUAAAAAAUGUACUAUGCAUGUAGAGGCUUAUAUAAAGUGUUCCAAGGACCCGGGUUCAAUUCCCGGCACCUCCACCA